rnacentral:hammerhead_ribozyme from 1 species
GUCCAGCUGACGAGUCCCAAAUAGGAUGAAGUGUCAUACGUUCUGGAU